GAACCUUACGAGGCGAAAGAGAGGAAAGGCAAAGNAACGUAAAUCGGUUGAAAGGAAUGAUAAGUCCCUAAAAAGAGAGGAUAAUGACGUUAUCUUUUACAUUUAGUCUCGGCCAAAUCUCGUGCCAGCAGCCGCGGUAAGACGAGGGAGGCUAGCGUUAUUAAUCAUAAAUAGGUUUAAAGGGUCCGUACAAAUUUAGGUUAAAGGGCGGCCACACAAGCNAUAAGAUAAAGAAGUGUUUAGAUACAGUUUAUUGUAGUUUAAAUUAACGAGGGGGAGCGGGGCUCCUACCCAUCCUCCAGCUCCCCCCUCCCCGUUAUCCCUGCGUGUAUCCUCCGAGACACUUCGUGUUAAGGGUUGAUUAACACCCACACACACUUGUUGUGUGUGGGGUUACUUCGUUCCCAAUAAUUAAUAAAUUAUUGGAAACGAUGAUUUUAAAAUUUUAUUUUAAAAACUUCGUGAGGUGCGGGGGGGGGUGAGGAAGGAUAGGGGGUGGUUUAUCUGG
rnacentral:rRNA from 1 species